rnacentral:rRNA from 1 species
AUUGACGCUGGCGGCAGGCCUAACACAUGCAAGUCGAACGAGUGGCGGACGGGUGAGUAAUGUCUGGGAAACUGCCUGAUGGAGGGGGAUAACUACUGGAAACGGUAGCUAAUACCGCAUACCAUCGGAUGUGCCCAGAUGGGAUUAGCUAGUAGGUGGGGUAAAGGCUCACCUAGGCGACGAUCCCUAGCUGGUCUGAGAGGAUGACCAGCCACACUGGAACUGAGACACGGUCCAGACUCCUACGGGAGGCAGCAGUGGGGAAUAUUCGACAAUGGACGAAAGUCUGAUCGAGCCAUGCCGCGUGUGUGAAGAAGGUUUUCGGGUUGUAAAGCACUUUUGUUGGGGAAGCGUUAUCUAACCAGGAAGCACCGGCUAACUCCGUGCCAGCAGCCGCGGUAAUUC